GGGUAGCUCAGUUGGUACAGAUGAGACUCUUAACCUCAGGGUUGUGGGUUCAAGCCCCACAUGAGACA